GGGGAUUUAGCUCAGCGGUAGAGCCCUUGCCUAGCAAGUGCAAGGCCCUGGGUUCGAUCCCCAGCUCCG
rnacentral:tRNA from 1 species